rnacentral:rRNA from 1 species
UGAGGAAUAUUGGUCAAUGGGCGCAAGCCUGAACCAGCCAUGCCGCGUGCAGGAAGACGGUCCUAUGGAUUGUAAACUGCUUUUAUUCGGGGAUAAACCUCUUUACGUGUAGAGAGCUGAAGGUACCGAAAGACUAAGCACCGGCUAACUCCGUGCCAGCAGCCGCGGUAAUACGGAGGGUGCAAGCGUUAUCCGGAAUCAUUGGGUUUAAAGGGUCCGCAGGCGGGAUUGUAAGUCAGUGGUGAAAUCCGGCAGCUCAACUGUCGCACUGACAUUGAUACUGGAGUCCUUGAAUGUGAGAGGAGGGGGCGGAAUAGGUCAUGUAGCGGUGAAAUGCUUAGAUAUGACAUAGAACACCGAUAGCGAAGGCAGCUCACUAAGUCUGAAUUGACGCUCAUGGACGAAAGCGUGGGUAGCAAACAGGAUU